AGAGUUUGAUCAUGGCUCAGAACGAACGCUGGCGGCAGGCCUAACACAUGCAAGUCGAGCGCACUCUUCGGAGUGAGCGGCGGACGGGUUAGUAACGCGUGGGAACGUGCCCAGAUCUAAGGAAUAGCCACUGGAAACGGUGAGUAAUACCUUAUACGCCCUUCGGGGGAAAGAUUUAUCGGAUUUGGAUCGGCCCGCGUUAGAUUAGAUAGUUGGUGGGGUAACGGCCUACCAAGUCUACGAUCUAUAGCUGGUUUUAGAGGAUGAUCAGCAACACUGGGACUGAGACACGGCCCAGACUCCUACGGGAGGCAGCAGUGGGGAAUCUUGGACAAUGGGGGCAACCCUGAUCCAGCCAUGCCGCGUGAGUGAUGAAGGCCUUAGGGUCGUAAAGCUCUUUCGCCAGGGAUGAUAAUGACAGUACCUGGUAAAGAAACCCCGGCUAACUCCGUGCCAGCAGCCGCGGUAAUACGGAGGGGGUUAGCGUUGUUCGGAAUUACUGGGCGUAAAGCGCGCGUAGGCGGACCAGAAAGUUGGGGGUGAAAUCCCGGGGCUCAACCCCGGAACUGCCUCCAAAACUCCUGGUCUUGAGUUCGAGAGAGGUGGGUGGAAUUCCGAGUGUAGAGGUGAAAUUCGUAGAUAUUCGGAGGAACACCAGUGGCGAAGGCGGCUCACUGGCUCGAUACUGACGCUGAGGUGCGAAAGUGUGGGGAGCAAACAGGAUUAGAUACCCUGGU
rnacentral:rRNA from 1 species